rnacentral:misc_RNA from 1 species
GAUGAAGAACGUAGCGAAAUGCGAUAAGUAAUGUGAAUUGCAGAAUUCAGUGAAUCAUCGAAUCUUUGAACGCACAUUGCGCCCCCUGGUAUUCCGGGGGGCAUGCCUGUUCGAGCGUCAUUUCACCACUCAAGCCUCGCUUGGUAUUGGGCAACGCGGUCCGCCGCGUGCCUCAAAUCGACCGGCUGGGUCUUCUGUCCCCUAAGCGUUGUGGAAACUAUUCGCUAAAGGGUGUUCGGGAGGCUACGCCGUAAAACAACCCCAUUUCUAAGGUUGACCUCGGAUCAGGUAGGCAUACCCGCUGAACUUAAGCAUAUCAAUAAGCGGAGGA